rnacentral:lncRNA from 1 species
ACACUCCCCCUUGCCAAUUUUAAAUUGGCUUCUCUCUCUCUCUCUUUUUCACUUUUGACUAGUCAAAAUUCUAUCUCCUCCCUUCUUCUUAUCUCUUUCCUUUCUUUUUUCCCUCUCUCCUCUCUCUUCUUCCCCACGUGACCGAAAGCUCCCCUUCUUCUUGUUUCUUGCUCGUGAAAACCAGAAACGGAGGAAGAACAGCAGCUCGCCGAGGUCCGUCGCCGCCCAUCUCGCCGCCGCACCGCACGCCCGCGCACGCCUUGUGCUCCGCCGCCUCCCACCCGCGCUCGUCGUCCUCCCCCGUGCGAUCCAGCCCCUGUUUCACCUUUGCCCAGCCUUGUUCGGCCGGCUCAGGCCGCGGUCUGACCCCCUCCGGCCACCAUCCCGCCUCCCCGGAGCUCCGCCCGCUCUCCCGAACCCUUGCCGCCCGCAACUAACUCUUUUUUUCCUCUGUUUUGCAGCAACUCAGCAAGUUUCUGAGUGGGUUUCCAGCAACUUCGGACCCACUUUUGGGCCGUUUCCGGGCCCCGAACCCGAGCCGUGCUCUGGGAAGAAUCGUUCCUCGUGUCGUCCCCGUCGGAUUGAUACGUCUUGCGCGCGAUUCAAGUGAGUAAUCUCACUAAUCCCAGAUUAGUUGGCUAAUUAUGCUUAAGGUUGGUUUAGUUUUAAUUAAUUAUGUUUAGGUUGUUAGAUUAGAAUAAAUUAGCAAUUAUUAGUCAAUUGUGAUACGAUUUAGAUAAAUUGAUU